rnacentral:rRNA from 1 species
UGGAUCGUUCAAACCUUCAAGGCCCCUCCCCAUCCCAUCAGCACUGUUGGAAGAUAAGCUUGAAUGGGCUGAAUUAGUAGUACGGUGGGGGACCAACGUGCGAAUCCUCAGUGACGAUCUGU